GAGGCUACCUUAUUAAGUGUACACUGAGCUUGACGAUAAAAAAUAUUAAAGAGGAAAAAAUAAAAUACAAAAAUAACGAAAGAAAAGUAAAUUUAAAAUAAAACAGCAGCAAUAAAACGACAAGAAACGGCGACGGUUUUUGGACGUUAAAGAAGUAAAUAUGAAAAGAAAAAAAGUUUAGUAAUUUUAAAAAGAAAAUUUAUUUAAAUAAAAAUCUAAAUUUUAACAAAAUUUAAAAGCAUACCUAAAGAAAAAUGUAGCUAUAAAGUGUAUGAAAAAUUUCAAGUGUUUUAACAGUGCGAACGCAAAAAAAUUGAAAAAUAUUGAAGGAAUAAAAGAAAAAAAAGUGGGCAAAAGAGAGAGAGAAAGAGGAAAAAAAUAUAACAAAAAAAUCUAAAAUUUAUGAGAGAGCAGCAUUUUACGUUUGAAAUCAACCAAAAGAAAACAACAAAAUAAAAGUGAGAUCUGUUGGAUAGAAACAAAAAAACUCACUGUUAUUAUAAAAAAAAACAACAAAACAAAACAAUAAAUCAUAAACAUGUAUAAAUGAUUAAGAAGAAGCAAUUGUCAUUUUCAUUAUUA